AGCAGCCGCGGUAAUUCCAGCUCCAAUAGCGUAUAUUAAAGUUGUUGCAGUUAAAAAGCUCGUAGUUGAAUUUCGGGGUUAGUAGGUUGGUCAUGCCUCUGGUAUGUACUGGUCUCAUUGAUUCCUCCUUCCUGAUGAGCCGUAAUGCCAUUAAUUUGGUGUUGCGGGGAAUUUGGACUGUUACUUUGAAAAAAUUAGAGUGUUUAAAGCAAGCUAACGCUUGAAUACAUUAGCAUGGAAUAAUGAAAUAGGACGUUCGAUCCUAUUUUGUUGGUUUCUAGGAUUGACGUAAUGAUUAAUAGGGAUAGUUGGGGGCAUUAGUAUUCAAUUGUCAGAGGUGAAAUUCUUGGAUUUAUUGAAGACUAACUACUGCGAAAGCAUUUGCCAAGGGUGUUUUCAUUAAUCAAGAACGAAAGUUAGGGGAUCGAAGACGAUCAGAUACCGUCGUAG
rnacentral:rRNA from 1 species